rnacentral:rRNA from 1 species
AAGCCUCCCUCAAGAUAAGAUUUCUUCGAGCGGUCGUAGACCACGACCUUGAUAGGCCGGAUGUGGAAGUGCGGUAACGCAUGGAGCUAACCGGUCCUAAUUGCUCUGUUCGCGCUUGAAUGCU